CAAGUCGAACGGUGAUGGCCAGCUUGCUGGUCUGAUCAGUGGCGAACGGGUGAGUAACACGUGAGCAACCUGCCCUAGACUCUGGAAUAACCAUGGGAAACGAUGGCUAAUACCGGAUACGAGACGCACACGCAUGUGUGGCGUCUGGAAAGAUUCAUCGGUCUGGGAUGGGCUCGCGGCCUAUCAGCUUGUUGGUGGGGUAGUGGCCUACCAAGGCGACGACGGGUAGCCGGCCUGAGAGGGCGACCGGCCACACUGGGACUGAGAUACGGCCCAGACUCCUACGGGAGGCAGCAGUGGGGAAUAUUGCACAAUGGGCGCAAGCCUGAUGCAGCGACGCCGCGUGAGGGAUGACGGCCUUCGGGUUGUAAACCUCUUUCAGCAGGGAAGAAGCGAAAGUGACGGUACCUGCAGAAGAAGCGCCGGCUAACUACGUGCCAGCAGCCGCGGUAAUACGUAGGGCGCAAGCGUUGUCCGGAAUUAUUGGGCGUAAAGAGCUCGUAGGCGGUUUGUCGCGUCUGCUGUGAAAACCUAAGGCUCAACCUUGGGCUUGCAGUGGGUACGGGCAGACUAGAGUGCGGUAGGGGUGACUGGAAUUCCUGGUGUAGCGGUGGAAUGCGCAGAUAUCAGGAGGAACACCGAUGGCGAAGGCAGGUCACUGGGCCGCAACUGACGCUGAGGAGCGAAAGCAUGGGGAGCGAACAGGAUUAGAUACCCUGGUAGUCCAUGCCGUAAACGUUGGGCACUAGGUGUGGGGCUCAUUCCACGAGUUCCGUGCCGCAGCAAACGCAUUAAGUGCCCCGCCUGGGGAGUACGGCCGCAAGGCUAAGACUCAAAGAAAUUGACGGGGGCCCGCACAAGCGGCGGAGCAUGCGGAUUAAUUCGAUGCAACGCGAAGAACCUUACCAAGGCUUGACAUACACCGGAAACUUCCAGAGAUGGUUGCCCCGCAAGGUCGGUGUACAGGUGGUGCAUGGGUUGUCGUCAGCUCGUGUCGUGAGAUGUUGGGUUAAGUCCCGCAACGAGCGCAACCCUCGUCCCAUGUUGCCAGCGGGUUAUGCCGGGGACUCAUGGGAGACUGCCGGGGUCAACUCGGAGGAAGGUGGGGAUGACGUCAAAUCAUCAUGCCCCUUAUGUCUUGGGCUUCACGCAUGCUACAAUGGCUGGUACAAAGGGCUGCGAUACCGCGAGGUGGAGCGAAUCCCAAAAAGCCGGUCUCAGUUCGGAUUGGGGUCUGCAACUCGACCCCAUGAAGUCGGAGUCGCUAGUAAU
rnacentral:rRNA from 1 species